rnacentral:rRNA from 1 species
AGUGAACGCUGGCGGUAGGCCUAACACAUGCAAGUCGAACGGCAGCACAGUAAGAGCUUGCUCUUACGGGUGGCGAGUGGCGGACGGGUGAGGAAUACAUCGGAAUCUACUUUUUCGUGGGGGAUAACGUAGGGAAACUUACGCUAAUACCGCAUACGACCUACGGGUGAAAGCAGGGGAUCUUCGGACCUUGCGCGAUUGAAUGAGCCGAUGUCGGAUUAGCUAGUUGGCGAGGUAAAGGCCCACCAAGGCGACGAUCCGUAGCUGGUCUGAGAGGAUGAUCGGCCACACUGGAACUGAGACACGGUCCAGACUCCUACGGGAGGCAGCAGUAGGGAAUAUUGGGCAAUGGGCGAAAGCCUGAUGCAGCAAUACCGCGUGAGUGAAGAAGGCCUUCGGAUUGUAAAGCCCUUUUAUUGGGAAAGAAAAGCAGCAGAUGAAUACGCCGAUGUUCUGACGGUACCCAAAGAGUAAGCACCGGCUAACUUCGUG